rnacentral:rRNA from 1 species
UACAGAGGGUGCAAGCGUUAAUCGGAUUUACUGGGCGUAAAGCGCGUGUAGGCGGCUUGGCAAGUCGGAUGUGAAAGCCCACGGCUCAACCGUGGAAGCGCAUCCGAAACGGCCUCGCUCGAGUCUCGGAGAGGAAGGUGGAAUGCUUGGUGUAGAGGUGAAAUUCGUAGAUAUCAAGCAGAACACCUGCGGCGAAGGCGGCCUUCUGGACGAUGACUGACGCUGAGACGCGAAAGCGUGGGGAGCAAACAGG